rnacentral:rRNA from 1 species
AAUGUCGCAAGACCAAAGUGGGGGACCUUCGGGCCUCAUGCCAUCAGAUGUGCCCAGAUGGGAUUAGCUAGUAGGUGGGGUAACGGCUCACCUAGGCGACGAUCCCUAGCUGGUCUGAGAGGAUGACCAGCCACACUGGAACUGAGACACGGUCCAGACUCCUACGGGAGGCAGCAGUGGGGAAUAUUGCACAAUGGGCGCAAGCCUGAUGCAGCCAUGCCGCGUGUGUGAAGAAGGCCUUCGGGUUGUAAAGCACUUUCAGCGGGGAGGAAGGCGGUGAGGUUAAUAACCUCAUCGAUUGACGUUACCCGCAGAAGAAGCACCGGCUAACUCCGUGCCAGCAGCCGCGGUAA